UACGUAGGGCGCAAGCGUUGUCCGGAAUUAUUGGGCGUAAAGAGCUCGUAGGCGGUCUGUUACGUCCGCCGUGAAAACCCAGGGCUUAACCCUGGGCUUGCAGUGGAUACGGGUAGACUAGAGGCAGGUAGGGGAGAAUGGAAUUCCCGGUGUAGCGGUGAAAUGCGCAGAUAUCGGGAGGAACACCGGUGGCGAAGGCGGUUCUCUGGGCCUGACCUGACGCUGAGGAGCGAAAGCGUGGGGAGCGAACAGG
rnacentral:rRNA from 1 species